ACGUAGGAGGCGAGCGUUAUCCGGAUUCACUGGGCGUAAAGCGCGUGCAGGCGGUUCGGUAAGUUGGGCGUGAAAGCUCCCUGGCUUAACCGGGAGAGGACGUGUGAGACUGUCGGACUAGAGGCAGGUGGAGGCAAGUGGAAUUCCGGGUGUAGUGGUGAAAUGCGUAGAUAUCCGGAGGAACACCAGUGGCGAAGGCGGCCUCCUGGCCCAUUUCUGACGCUCAGACGCGAAAGCUAGGGUAGCAAACGG
rnacentral:rRNA from 1 species